rnacentral:tRNA from 1 species
GGGCGAUUAGCUCAGUUGGUUAGAGUACUUGCUUGACAUGCAAGGGGUCACUGGUUCAAUUCCAGUAUCGCCCACCA